rnacentral:tRNA from 1 species
GCAGAUACACGUGUAGAAACAUACACACACGUAAUGUACACAUAUGUAUAGUGCACAUAUGCACGCACUUGUACACACAUUUAGGCAUACACAUGCAUAUGUAGAUGCAUGUGUACAUGCAUGUAUACAUCUACACAUGCACAGACACACAUACAUGUACACAUGCAUACUGUGUACAUAAUACAUGUAUACAGAUACAUGUGCGCAUGCACGUGUACACACAUGCAUGCAUACACACAUGCAUUUGUAGAUAUAUGUGUAGGUGUGUACACACAACAUACACAUAUGCAUCCACACAUACACAUAUACAUAUGAGGUGGCACGUUCAGCUUUCAAGAGGACCAUCAGGGACUUUGUCACCUUGACAACUUUAGCCUUGCCUUCUAGUCACCUUGCCGGAACACUUGUGCCCGUGUUUUUCUAGCACUGUCAUAAGAAUACUUUUACCUAUCAAGGCAACUGGGGGUUAGGAGAGCUUUUUGCACAGGAGGCUACUUGGCUUUGUUUGAAAACUGAUGAUACAUGAGGAUUGGGGUGGUGAAUCACUCACAUGUUUCUUCAUAUGAAAAAUGAGGACUGUGGGAUUCUCUGGCUGGAUCUCAGCACCUAGAAAUGGAUCUGGGCAAUAGGAACUGCUCAGUAUUAGCUACCGCUUUGGUUGCCUUCUCCUUGCGGAAAGCUGGCCUCUCACACUGAAUUUGUAUCAUAGGCACUCAUGAGGGUCUUGACUGUAUCAAUAUCUGAUGAGAGAUUUUAGUGCAGUUCUGUUAUCGUGGCUGAUUUGCUCAUUUGGUAGCUAGCAUCCAGCUUCUUGUGAACAUUAAAAUAAAAUAAAAUAGAUUAUGGAGGAAUAGAAUACAGAUACGUAGUAAGGUAUUAUUUUCCAGACAAAAUGGAUUUGGAUAAAAGAAUCUAAUUAAGAACUUGUGCAUGAUUCUUUUAAAAUUCUUUUGAAUCCAUUUUUUUUUUUUUGGCCUGUUUUCAAGUCUCCGAUUUUUGUCACCCUUCUCACACCAGGUCAGAGAGAUAGCUAAUGGUCAGAAGGAAUCUUCCAGCAAUGACCAUAGCGCUUUCUCCUGCCUGCAGAUGCCUCUUUUUAUUCAGCCUUUAUGGGAAGUAGCAGCACCAUCCAGUUCUCAGAGAGCAAGCUCUGGAGUAACUGAGCUAACCCCAGUUACCCCAGUGGAUUUACAGAUUGAGGUUACAACCCAGCAGGGUUCUCUUCCUGGAAAGAAUAGCCUUCCCUCUAAGGUUUCAAAUAGACCCUGGGUGAGGAAGGAGCCCUAAACAGCUUGAAAAAUUGAAUGCUCUUUGGGCAAAGCAGGAAGCCGUCCUAUGGAAGAGCAUCAUUUGAGCAUAAAUCAGGUUAUCAGGACAAACAGAGUGUUCAGGAGGUCAAGAUGGUUAAGCAGAGACCCUGACCAGAAUGUCCGUGGCGGAGAGAAACAAUCUUGUUGGGAAAAGGAUGACAAUAAUUGGGGACUUAGAAUAAAGGCUAAAAAUGAUUCAAAGAGAAUGCAAAAAGAAUCAGGCACAAAUCGUUUACUAUACUCUGUUAUGCAAAUCUCACCUUACUAUGUGUUUGUAUUCUAUUCCUCCACAAUCUUUAUUUUAUUUUAAUGUUCAAAGAGACUUGUAGGUGCCAAUUAAAUGAACAAAACAGCCAGAGACAACAGAACUGCCCUAAAAAAAGUCCCGCAUCAGCUCUUGAGAGCAGGUUCCUUAAAGGUGAACAAUAUUCCACAUACAAGGACUUUUUCAGCACCAUGCAUUAGAAAUGGAAGUGAAUGUUUAUUAUUUUUUGUAUAAGUUGGUUGAUAUGGCUUUUCAGCUUCCCUCAGUAUCAUUAUCCAAAUUUUGUAGAUGACACUAAAGCUCAGAGGAGUUAAACCAUUUUCCUUAAAUCACAUAGCUUUAAAUAGGAAAACCAGAUAUGAAAAGCAGAUUUUUUUUCUAAAUUAAAAAACCAAAAACAAAAACACGUGAGCUCUUGCUUUACCCUAGCACAUAGUCUUGCCAUCUGUUUUCUCCACACCAGGUGAUUCCUGUAACAUUCAUUCACAUAACAAAUACAAAUAAAUGAGUGGAUUCAUUCAUCAGAUAUUAAUUCAGAAUCCCUUUUGUGCCUUCCAGAAAUCUGGACCAUCUCACAACCCCCAGAGAGUCUCAGCUACAAGGAACAAGUGAUAAUGCCAUCCCACUUUUAUAAACACACACACACACACAUGCAAUACACACACAAUCAUUUAAUCAUUUUUAAUUAUUUAAUUAUUUUUUAAAAAUCAGUGACACUUUAGCUGGGCAGGUCUAGAUAGGUCUUCUUUGCUGGGACGUGUCUUUUUCUGUCCUGGAAUACCCUAAACUUCACAUUUUGGCAGCGUGAGUUUUCCCUUUGUGACUUUCUCCUUCUUCCCUUUUUUCCUCCUUCUUUGCAGAGAAUGAGUAGCCACUGCACCUUGCCCUGCGCCAUCAAUGAGAAGAUCUGCUCUUAGUAGAGCCCUGCUUUCCCGCUGAAGGCCCUGAAAUCACCUGUGUUCCAGGCCACCCACUAAGGAUAAACAAAGCUUCCCUGAUAUGGGGAAUUAGCUCAAGUGGUAGAGCGCUUGCUUAGCAUGCAAGAGGUAGUGGGAUCAAUGCCCACAUUCUCCAAGCUUUAUUAUUUAGGUACCCAAACCCGAGUCAGUGUCUGAGAGCAAGACACUGCUCUCGGUGUCUUUGGUUCAAGACAUAGGAGCAGCAACAAUACAGGACUGGUGACAGCUUCCUGCUGGCAUUCAGUAUAGUGUAGAUCUACUGUGUAAUUAAUUUUCUGUUUCUUCGAGGAGCUGUGAAACCAAAGGACAUAUAAAACUGCUCUUUUCUCCCUGUUUCUGCCUGCAGCUUGGUCCUAAAUGUGAGACAAUUGUGAAAAGUGGAGGACAGAGCCACCUGGUUAAAUACAGCCCCAGCUUUCUGGUGAGAGGACUGAAACCAAGAUGUGUCAAGUAACUAGAAUGUGCCUGGACAGAUACUGUAGAAAGCAAAACCAUAAAGUUGUUCAUGAGCUUGUGGACGCACCUGCCAGCUGUGAAUAAGUGGCUCUAAUCCCGAACAACUUACCUAAAAAGAGCCUGAGAGCUGAACUGUGCAAUGGCCCACUUUCCAGUCCUCACUGACCACUGGGUUGCACACACUUUGGAGAUCUCUGAACAGCAGUGUCAAGGCUUUCAAAUAGAGUUAUCUUUGAAACGACAACACAUGAAAGUCUGGUUGGUACUUGGAGCUUAAAUACAAGGCAAUUGUGUGCCUGCAAAAACAAAAAUAGCAAUAUUAUCCUUAAGAUUUCAACAAGACACAGUGUCUCAUCACAUAAUCCAAAGAAGUCCAGGUUACAAGCCCCACAAUAUUCAGCAUUAUGAAAAAACAGGGAGAUCUUAAUUCACAUGGCAAAGAGAAUCCUCGAAUAACAAUAUUGAGAGGACACAGAUGUCAAAAUCAUCUGACACAUACAUUAAAGCAGAUAUUAUAACAAUGCUCCUAGAAUCGGGGAUAACAUUCGUGAAGUGAAUGGAAAGUUGGAAAGUCUCACCAAAUAUUUCGAAUACAUAAACACCAAUUUAAACUUAAGAAUUAAAAAAAUGUAUUAACCAAAACUCUUAGGGGAAAUAAAAAGCUUAAUUGGAGGAUCUCCAUAAUCGAAUGCAGAAGACUAAGGAAAAAGUCAAUGAACUUGAAAACAGAACACGAAUACCUACAUAAUCUGAACUAUAGAGAGAAAGGAGGAUUUUAUUGUCUCUGAACAGAGGCUCAGGCACAAAUAAAAAAUAACAAAUCCAACAUUCACAUUAUUGUAAUCUGGAAAGAAGAGGACAAAGUGGUCUUUGUGGGAUAAAACUUUGAACAAUUAAUAGCUGAAAAUGGUUCAAAUUUGUCAAAAGAUAUAAACCAGAUUUUUAAAGUUCAGUAAAUGUCAAUCAGGAUAAACCCAAAGAAACCCAUAGCAAGGCAUAUCAUAAUCAAACUGCUGAAAACUAAGAAAAUACAAAACAAUUUUGAAAGCAGCCAAAGGGAAAUGAAAGAGAAACUACCAAAUGAAUGAUUGUAGAUUUCGCAUCAGGAACCAUAGGGGCCAGAAAAAAUGUCAUAACAUUCGGUAAGUAACAAAAGAAAAAGACAUAUCGACCCAGAAUGCUAUGUGGAGCAAAAGUAUCUUCCAGACAUAAAGGCAAAUAAAUGCAUUCUCAGUGGAAGGUAAGUAAAUACAUUCUCAUUCUUAGGAAGACUGCUGGAAAAGAAUUAGCAAAGAUUUGAGAUAAGAAAAAUGAUACCAGAAGGAAACUUAGAACAUCAUCAGUGAAGGAACAAAAGCAGAAAUAGAACAUGUCUGGGUAGACAUAACAGACUAUUAUUCUUCCCUUGAGUUCCUUAAGGAGACUACGGAAAAGAAGAGUGACUAAGAUCUCUGAAGAAGGGAAAAGCUAGAUGACUGGGCCACAAGAGGAAAAAAAGCAGCAAGACAGAGAUUUGUUGGUGCCAACUAAAUGAGCCCAACAGCCAGUGACAACAGAACUGCACUAAAAAAAGUCCCUCAUCAGCUCUUGAGAGCAGGUUCCUUAAAGGUGAACAAUAUUCCACAUACAAGGACUUUUUCAGCACCAUGCAUUAGAAAUGGAAGUGAAUGUUUAUUAUUUUUUGUAUAAGUUGGUUGAUACGGCUUUUCAGCUUCCCUCAGUAUCAUUAUCCAAAUUUUGUAGAUGACACUAAAGCUCAGAGGAGUUAAACCAUUUUCCUCAAAUCACAUAGUUUUAAAUAGGAAAACCAGAUAUGAAAAGCAGAUUUUUUUCUAAAUUAAAAAAAAAAAAAAAACUUGAGCUCUUGCUUUACCCUAGCACAUAGUCUCACCAUCUGUUUUCUCCAUGCCAGGUCAUUCAUGUAACAUUCAUUCACAUAACAAAUACAAAUAAAUGAGUGGAUUCAUUCAUCAGCUAUUAAUUCAGAAUCUCUUUUGUGUCUACCACACUAGGCUCAAGACUUCCCAGUGUCUUUGUCUCCUCUCCCUCAAAUCUCUCCACCCAAUGUCUUGACAAAUACUGUAGAUCCUUCCUGCACAGCAUCACCAGAAUGUUUUUCUUUCUUUUCAUUCACCUCUGUCAUCAUCCAUGCUAUGGUGUUUAUGGAGGAUGUAUUCUGCAGCAGGAAGUGUGAUGGGCACUGACGCUGCAGAAAGACUCCUGUUGUCCACCUCGGGAGCUGACACGAUAAAUGCGGACAAUGAGUAGCCACUGCUGUUUGCCCUGGCCCAUCAAUGAGAAGAUCUGCUCUUAGAGCCCUGCUUUCCUGCUGAAGGCCCUGAAAUCACCUGUGUUCCAGGCCACCUGCUAACAAUAAAUAAUGCUGCCCUGAUGUGGGGAAUUAGCUCAAGUGGUAGAGCGCUUGCUUAGCACGCAAGAGGUAGUGGGAUCGAUGCCCACAUUCUCCAAGCUUUAUUAUUUAGACAUCGUGUCUCCAAACACUCAGGUCUCCAAACCCAAGUUAGUGUCUGAGAACAGGAUGCUGCUUUGGUUCAAGACGUAGGAGCAGCAAUAAUAGAGGGCUGGUGAUGGCUCCCUCUUGGCAUUCAGUAUAGUGUAGAUCUACCAUGUAAUUAAUUCUCUGUUUCUUUGAGGAGCUGUGAAACCAAGGGACAUAUACAACUGCUCUUUUCUCCCUGUUUCUACCUGCAGCUUUGUCCUAAAUGUGAGACAAUUAUGAAAAGUGCAGCGCAGAGCCACUUGGGUAAAUACAGCCCCGGCUUUCUGCUCAGGGGACAGAGUUUGAGGCACUGCAGAGGAACCGGCCAAAGUAUGAGACCCAUAUAUUGAGAGUAACAGAGUGUAAAGUUCAAAAAAAUCAAAAUAUUUAAAGAUUUAUCAUGGGUCUUGAUGACAUGAUGGAAUCUCUCUACUCUCUGGACUUAUUAUGUGUGGUAAUAAAUUUACUUUUUAAAAGCCA